rnacentral:rRNA from 1 species
UACGGAGGGAGCUAGCGUUGUUCGGAAUUACUGGGCGUAAAGCGCACGUAGGCGGCUUUGUAAGUUAGAGGUGAAAGCCCGGGGCUCAACUCCGGAACUGCCUUUAAGACUGCAUCGCUUGAAUCCAGGAGAGGUGAGUGGAAUUCCGAGUGUAGAGGUGAAAUGCGUAGAGAUUAGGAAGAAUACCAGUGGCGAAGGCGGCUUACUGGUCCGGUUCUGACGCUGAGGCGCGAAAGCGUGGGGAGCAAACAGG